rnacentral:rRNA from 1 species
AUGGGAGGCAUAUAGCAUAACGUUGCAGGUAUUUCUUACACAAAUUUCUGGUAUAGUACAACUCCAUUUGUGCAGCUAAGUAAAGUUUCACUUUGUGCAGUCACAUCCGGCAUUUACUGAAUACCAUGAUUUGCUAGCAACCUUGGAGGAAAUGCUUUCUUCUACAUCUAACUCCGAGGAUAAAUGAACUUUCUUCUCCAUUGUUUGGAAACUAAGCAUCCUAUCAUGGACUUCUAUGUUGAGCAUGUUGCCCUCCGGAUAAAACUGUAAAAUAGUUAUAUAAUGUUACACGGGGAAAACGUUAAGCAGCACUUGGAAGGAAAUAUGACGCGGGGUUAAAGUUCCUGAUUUGGCAUCGCUAAAACUUAUUGCAGAAAUCAUUUGUAGAUAUGCAUAUUGCUGUUUAGUUCAAUAUUUUCUUCUGUUCCUUUCCUUGUUUGAUCACCGGUAGUAUUUUGCCUGUUGUCCUUUUUAGAGGACCACACAGGAGCGGCGGAAGGGUGGUGAAGAGGUAGUAUUGUAUAAAUUUAGUGUAUACACAUUUAGCCAUGUAUAAAUGCAUUAUGGCCGUGACAUGGACUGAGCCAUUCAACAUUUUUUCUCCUCUAUUCUAUUGCUUCAAGGGCAAAUUUUACCAUGGACCAUGGCCCAUGUAGCAGCAUGGAUAAUAAAGCAAAACGGUGUUGUAUCAUUUUAAUUAAAUUUUAGUUUCAUUUGACAAUCUUGUUAUAUUUUUUAGUUUCAUUUUUCACGCACAUUAGUUUCAUUAUAGUAAAUACUAAUAUUAUUUUAAUUUUACUACAAUUUCAUUUGACAAUAUAUGUUAUUGCAUUAAUUCUAUUUUUCACACACAAGUUAAAUUAUAGUAACGUUAUACUUUUAAGUACACUUGAUGUUCAUUUGAAAAUAUAUGUUAUUGUAAGAGUUUUGUUUUUUAGUUUCAUUUUUCUCACACUAGUAUUAUUUUAAUAAUAUUAAAAUAUCAUUUUAACUCUAUUAUAAUUUUAUUUAAUAAUUGUAUAUGAUCCACAUAGUACUAUCUGAACACUGGCGUAAGGCUGUAUGCCAGCUUAUUGUAUUUGCAAGUUUCUCAGUCCAGACUAGAAGAUGUCUGAAUUUUUUGUUGUUUUGAACAAAAUUUAUUUGUGUGGCCAUUGGCCAAAGUCGCAUGAUAUGACAGAUUCGUAAACGACUACCAAAUUGAACAAAGAAGAGGAUUAUAAUAUGGUCACUAGUAAAUCAGUGCCUGAUGGAUGCAAGCAUUCUUAUACCAGGACAUUAGAUACGUGUUCAUUUUAAAAUCAUGUAAGCUUAAAAUCAUUGCUUGAGUAACACAAACAUUGGUGAGAAUUCAAUGCCCCGAAACCUAAGGGUUCCUCCGCAAGGUUCGUCCACGGAUGAUGAGUCAGGGCUUAAGAUCAGCUGAAAGGCGUAGUCGAUGGACAACAUGUGAAUAUUCCUGUACUAUUGCAUUGUUGGGUCCCGAGGGACAGAGGAGGCUAGGUUUGCCGAAAGAUAGUUUUCGGUUCAAGAGCGUAAGGUGCCCUUUCAGGGUAAGAAGGGGUAGAGAAAAUGCCUUGAGCCAAUGUUUGAGUAUGAGGCGCUACGACGCUAAAGUAACCAUGCCAUACUUCCAGGAAAAGCUCGAACGAUCAACAACAAAAGUGUACUUGUACCUGAAACCGACACAGGUGGGUAGGUAGAGAAUACCUAGGGGCGCGAGAUAACUCUCUAAGGAACUCGGCAAAAUAGCCCCGUAACUUCGGGAGAAGGGGUGCCUCCUCACAAAGGGGGUUGCAGUGACCAGGCCUAGGCGACUGUUUACAAAAAACACAAGUAUUCGCAAAGUCGUAAGACCAUGUAUGGGGGCUGACGCCUGCCUGCCUAGUGCCGGAAUGUUAAUGAAGUUGGUGACUUGAUGACAGGGGAGCUAGCAACCGAAGCCUCGGUGAACGGCGGUCGUAACUAUAAUGGUCCUAAGGUAGCGAAAUUCCUUGUCGGUAAGUUCCGACCCGCAGGAAAGGCGUAACGAUCUGGGCACUGUCUCGGAGAGAGGCUCGAUGAAAUAGACAUGUCUGUGAAGAUGCGGACUACCUGCACCUAGACAGAAAGACCCUAUGAAGCUUCACUGUUCCCUGGGAUUGGCUUUGGGCCCUUCCUGAGCAACUUAGGUGGAAGGCGAAGAAGGCCUUCUUCCGAGGGGGUCCGAGCAAUCAGUGAGAUACCACUCUGGAAGGGCUAGAAUUCUAACCUUGUGCCAGGACCUACGGGCCAAGGGACAGUUUCNACAGUUUCUAUGGGGCGUAGGCCUCCCAAAAGGUAACGGAGGCGUGCAAAGGUUUCCUCGGGCUGGACGGAGAUUGGCCCUUGGGUGCAAAGGCAGAAGGGAGCUUGACUACAAGACCCACCCGUCGAGCAGGGACGAAAGUCAGCCUUAGUGAUCCGACUGUACCGAGUGGAAGGGUCGUCGCUCAACGGAUAAAAGUUACUCUAGGGAUAACAUGUUGAUCUUCCCCAAGAGCUCACAUCGACGGGAAGGUUUGGCACCUCGAUAUCGGCUCUUCGCCACCUGGGGCUGCAGUAUGUUCCAAGGGUUGGGCUGUUCGCCCAUUAAAGCGGUACGUGAGCUGGGUUCNGACAGUUCGGUCCAUAUCCGGUGUGGGCGUUAGAGCAUUGAGAGGACCUUUCCCUAGUACGAGAGGACCGGGAAGGACGCUAUUAUAUAUUCGGAUUUAUAAUAUAUUAAAAAUAAAUUUGUAUUAAAAUAUAAUGAAUUUACAGUAUAUUAAAAAUGAAUAUAUAUCCACUUCAUUUGUGAGUUGCAAGCACCUAAGCUAGUUCAUUAUUUGUGAGUUGAAAUUGAUUAGGUAUAGAAUAAUAUCAAGACCUUCCUGGUGGUCUCUGCUCAAGGCA